GUUAUCUCAUUAUAGUUUUUUAAGAAGUUCUUAUCUGAUACAGAGAAGAUUAGCAUGGCUCCUGCGCAAGGAUGACACGCAAAUUCGUGAAGCAUUCCAUAUAAUU
ensembl:snRNA U6 U6 spliceosomal RNA